AGAGUUUGAUCCUGGCUCAGGAUGAACGCUGGCGGUAUGCUUAACACAUGCAAGUCGAACGGGCUCUUCGGAGCUAGUGGCGGACGGGUGAGUAACGCGUGAGAAUCUGGCUUCAGGUUCGGGACAACAGUUGGAAACGGCUGCUAAUACCGGAUGUGCCUUAUGGUGAAAGAUUUAUCACCUGAAGAUGAGCUCGCGUCUGAUUAGCUAGUAGGUGUGGUAAGAGCGCACCUAGGCGACGAUCAGUAGCUGGUCUGAGAGGAUGAUCAGCCACACUGGGACUGAGACACGGCCCAGACUCCUACGGGAGGCAGCAGUGGGGAAUUUUCCGCAAUGGGCGAAAGCCUGACGGAGCAAUACCGCGUGAGGGAGGAAGGCUCUUGGGUUGUAAACCUCUUUUCUCAGGGAAGAAUGAUGACGGUACCUGAGGAAUAAGCAUCGGCUAACUCCGUGCCAGCAGCCGCGGUAAUACGGAGGAUGCAAGCGUUAUCCGGAAUGAUUGGGCGUAAAGCGUCCGCAGGUGGCAAUGUAAGUCUGCUGUCAAAGCGUCUGGCUCAACCAGAUAAAGGCAGUGGAAACUACAUAGCUAGAGUAAGGUAGGGGUAGAGGGAAUUCCUGGUGUAGCGGUGAAAUGCGUAGAGAUCAGGAAGAACACCGGUGGCGAAAGCGCUCUGCUGGACCUUAACUGACACUGAGGGACGAAAGCUAGGGGAGCGAAUGGGAUUAGAUACCCCCGUAGUCC
rnacentral:rRNA from 1 species